UACGAAGGGGCUAGCGUUGCUCGGAAUCACUGGGCGUAAAGGGUGCGUAGGCGGGUCUUUAAGUCAGGGGUGAAAUCCUGGAGCUCAACUCCAGAACUGCCUUCGAUACUGGAAAGCUCGAGUCCGGGAGAGGUGAGUGGAACUGCGAGUGUAGAGGUGAAAUUCGUAGAUAUUCGCAAGAACACCAGUGGCGAAGGCGGCUCACUGGCCCGGUACUGACGCUGAGGUGCGAAAGCGUGGGAGCAAACAGG
rnacentral:rRNA from 1 species